rnacentral:rRNA from 1 species
UACGUAGGGUGCGAGCGUUGUCCGGAAUUAUUGGGCGUAAAGGGCUCGUAGGCGGUUUGUCACGUCGGGAGUGAAAACUCAGGGCUCAACCCUGAGCCUGCUUCCGAUACGGGCAGACUAGAGGUAUGCAGGGGAGAACGGAAUUCCUGGUGUAGCGGUGAAAUGCGCAGAUAUCAGGAGGAACACCGGUGGCGAAGGCGGUUCUCUGGGCAUUACCUGACGCUGAUGCGCGAAAGCCAGGGGAGCAAACGGG